CCAAAGGUGUUUUUUAACACCACCCAAAAUUCAAAAGUUUUAUUUU
rfam:Dictyostelium purpureum unplaced genomic scaffold DICPTscaffold_578, whole genome shotgun sequence.